UACGGGGGGAGCAAGCGUUGUUCGGAUUUACUGGGCGUAAAGGGCGCGUAGGCGGCCACUGCAAGUCAGUUGUGAAAUCUCCGGGCUUAACUCGGAAAGGUCAACUGAUACUGCAGGGCUAGAGUACAGAAGGGGCAACUGGAAUUCUCGGUGUAGCGGUGAAAUGCGUAGAUAUCGAGAGGAACACCUGCGGCGAAGGCGGGUUGCUGGGCUGAUACUGACGCUGAGGAGCGAAAGCCAGGGGAGCAAACGGG
rnacentral:rRNA from 1 species